UUAAGCGACUAAGCGUACACGGUGGAUGCCCUGGCAGUCAGAGGCGAUGAAGGACGUGCUAAUCUGCGAAAAGCGACGGCGAGGUGAUAUGAACCUUUGACCCGUCGAUGUCCGAAUGGGGAAACCCAGUGCAAUCCGUUGCACUAUCGUUAACUGAAUACAUAGGUUAACGAGGCGAACCGGGGGAACUGAAACAUCUAAGUACCCCGAGGAAAAGAAAUCAACCGAGAUUCCCCCAGUAGCGGCGAGCGAACGGGGAGCAGCCCGGAGUCUGAAUCAGCUUGUGUGUUAGUGGAACGGUCUGGAAAGUCCGACGGUACAGGGUGAUAGUCCCGUACACGAAAGCACACAUGCUGUGAACUCGAAGAGUAGGGCGGGACACGUGGUAUCCUGUCUGAAUAUGGGGGGACCAUCCUCCAAGGCUAAAUACUCCUGACUGACCGAUAGUGAACCAGUACCGUGAGGGAAAGGCGAAAAGAACCCCGGCGAGGGGAGUGAAAAAGAACCUGAAACCGUGUACGUACAAGCAGUGGGAGCCUCUUUAUGGGGUGACUGCGUACCUUUUGUAUAAUGGGUCAGCGACUUAUAUUCUGUAGCAAGGUUAACCGUAUAGGGGAGCCGAAGGGAAACCGAGUCUUAACUGGGCGUUAAGUUGCAGGGUAUAGACCCGAAACCCGGUGAUCUAGCCAUGGGCAGGUUGAAGGUUGGGUAACACUAACUGGAGGACCGAACCGACUAAUGUUGAAAAAUUAGCGGAUGACCUGUGGCUGGGGGUGAAAGGCCAAUCAAACCGGGAGAUAGCUGGUUCUCCCCGAAAGCUAUUUAGGUAGCGCCUCGUGAACUCAUCUUCGGGGGUAGAGCACUGUUUCGGCUAGGGGGCCAUCCCGGCUUACCAACCCGAUGCAAACUACGAAUACCGAAGAAUGUUAUCACGGGAGACACACGGCGGGUGCUAACGUCCGUCGUGAAGAGGGAAACAACCCAGACCGCCAGCUAAGGUCCCAAAGUCAUGGUUAAGUGGGAAACGAUGUGGGAAGGCACAGACAGCCAGGAUGUUGGCUUAGAAGCAGCCAUCAUUUAAAGAAAGCGUAAUAGCUCACUGGUCGAGUCGGCCUGCGCGGAAGAUGUAACGGGGCUAAACCAUGCACCGAAGCUGCGGCAGCGACGCUUAUGCGUUGUUGGGUAGGGGAGCGUUCUGUAAGCCGUUGAAGGUGUGCUGUGAGGCAUGCUGGAGGUAUCAGAAGUGCGAAUGCUGACAUAAGUAACGAUAAAGCGGGUGAAAAGCCCGCUCGCCGGAAGACCAAGGGUUCCUGUCCAACGUUAAUCGGGGCAGGGUGAGUCGACCCCUAAGGCGAGGCCGAAAGGCGUAGUCGAUGGGAAACAGGUUAAUAUUCCUGUACUUGGUGUUACUGCGAAGGGGGGACGGAGAAGGCUAUGUUAGCCGGGCGACGGUUGUCCCGGUUUAAGCAUGUAGGCGGAGGUUCCAGGUAAAUCCGGUACCUUUUAACGCUGAGGUGUGAUGACGAGGCACUACGGUGCUGAAGUAACAAAUGCCCUGCUUCCAGGAAAAGCCUCUAAGCAUCAGGUAACACGAAAUCGUACCCCAAACCGACACAGGUGGUCAGGUAGAGAAUACCAAGGCGCUUGAGAGAACUCGGGUGAAGGAACUAGGCAAAAUGGUGCCGUAACUUCGGGAGAAGGCACGCUGAUAUGUAGGUGAAGUCCCUGCGGAUGGAGCUGAAAUCAGUCGAAGAUACCAGCUGGCUGCAACUGUUUAUUAAAAACACAGCACUGUGCAAACACGAAAGUGGACGUAUACGGUGUGACGCCUGCCCGGUGCCGGAAGGUUAAUUGAUGGGGUUAGCGGCAACGCGAAGCUCUUGAUCGAAGCCCCGGUAAACGGCGGCCGUAACUAUAACGGUCCUAAGGUAGCGAAAUUCCUUGUCGGGUAAGUUCCGACCUGCACGAAUGGCGUAAUGAUGGCCAGGCUGUCUCCACCCGAGACUCAGUGAAAUUGAACUCGCUGUGAAGAUGCAGUGUACCCGCGGCAAGACGGAAAGACCCCGUGAACCUUUACUAUAGCUUGACACUGAACACUGGUCCUUGAUGUGUAGGAUAGGUGGGAGGCUUUGAAGCGUGGACGCCAGUCUGCGUGGAGCCAUCCUUGAAAUACCACCCUUUAAUGGCUGGUGUUCUAACGUUGACCCGUAAUCCGGGUUGCGGACAGUGUCUGGUGGGUAGUUUGACUGGGGCGGUCUCCUCCCAAAGAGUAACGGAGGAGCACGAAGGUUAGCUAAUCCUGGUCGGACAUCAGGAGGUUAGUGCAAUGGCAUAAGCUAGCUUGACUGCGAGAGUGACGGCUCGAGCAGGUGCGAAAGCAGGUCAUAGUGAUCCGGUGGUUCUGAAUGGAAGGGCCAUCGCUCAACGGAUAAAAGGUACUCCGGGGAUAACAGGCUGAUACCGCCCAAGAGUUCAUAUCGACGGCGGUGUUUGGCACCUCGAUGUCGGCUCAUCACAUCCUGGGGCUGAAGUAGGUCCCAAGGGUAUGGCUGUUCGCCAUUUAAAGUGGUACGCGAGCUGGGUUUAGAACGUCGUGAGACAGUUCGGUCCCUAUCUGCCGUGGGCGCUGGAGAAUUGAGGGGGGCUGCUCCUAGUACGAGAGGACCGGAGUGGACGCAUCACUGGUGUUCGGGUUGUCAUGCCAAUGGCACUGCCCGGUAGCUAAAUGCGGAAGAGAUAAGUGCUGAAAGCAUCUAAGCACGAAACUUGCCCCGAGAUGAGUUCUCCCUGAGACUUUAAGUCUCCUGAAGGAACGUUGAAGACUACGACGUUGAUAGGUCGGGUGUGUAAGCGCAGCGAUGCGUUGAGCUAACCGAUACUAAUGAACCGUGAGGCUUAACCUU
rnacentral:rRNA from 1 species